CAUGAAACUGGACUUGGGAUAGCCAGUGAAGGUCAGGGUCUCAAUGGAACUCUGGGAUCAAGUGAUUGGGUGACCUCUCUAUCGUCCCCCAAUCCCUUUUGACCUACACAACGGGGUGCACAGCUGGAAGCCGCUGGUAGAGAGCAGGUUUUUGAAGAGGAGUAAUGAGCGACAGGAUUACUUAACACCACAAUAAACUUGAGAGAUAGUUAUUUCACCAAUCUGUAGCCUACUUUCUGGUGAUUGUUCUUGAAAAAAAAGGAACCCCAAAUAACUGCAAAGAACUUCAUCUGUCAAAGAUCGACCAAGACUUCAAUAUGCUCUUUGGUGAUGAAGUGACUGGAAUCUGAUGAUGAUGAUGGUGUGUACACCCCUACUGUCGACCAUCAUUUCUCCGCGUGCUGCGCUGCGUAGUGCCGCUGCGGUACAGGACUCUACGCACCGGAGCCUUGCCUGGAGAAGGGACGGGUUAAAAUAUCUCAGGAAUGAGGCGGUGGUGGUGAAGAGAAACUGGGAGACUGUCAUUGAAAGAGCAGAAGAAAAAAUGAGAAGAUGGAAAUGGCUGCUCCCUCAAAUGUCGUACAGAGGUAGAGUUUUAGUUUUAAAUAAUAUCAAUAAUUUAAAUUUAAAUUAUCUUGUUGCAUCCCUCUUGUGGCAUCGUCUGUCGUGUGUUGACCCCCCCUCUGGCCUACUAGUGGAAAUCCAGAAAAAAAUGGUUGAUUUCUUUUGGGGGGGUCUGCACUGGGUGCCACAGGGGGUUCUAUACUUGUCGAGAGAGGAGGGGGGACAGGACCUCAUCCACCUGGCCAGCAGAACGGCCACUUUCAGACUCCAGUUUAUAAAAAGGUUUCUGACAGGGCCGUCCGAUUUGGUAUGGAGGAACAUGACCAGCUGUAUCCUCAGAGAUGAGCCUUUGAUCCAUGGGAGCAGGCUGGACAUCUGUGGCGUGACACCCGGGCUGCUGACAACACUGUAUAGUCCAAAGACUGUGAGCCUGCAGCAGCUGGUGGAGGCUGCAGGGCCGGAGCUGACGGGGCCGGGGCCCUGGGCUCUCUCCUGGACAUUCGUUCGGUCAGGGUGGUUCAGAAGCUGCUGGAGCUCUGGAGGCAGAAGCUCUGUGGGAUGGAGAGGAUCCUUCUCAUGAAGUACUCCCGAGGAGAGACAAUACCAUACCCCACGGACCCUUUCCUGGACAUCAUCCUGAGCCCAGCGUUAGGUGAAGAGACCAGCCCUGUCAGCAGCCCGGGCAAGCUCAGCCUGCACCGGGCUGUGGCAAGCCGAUUUGACAUAAAUUCGCUAGACUUGCAGAUAUCUGCAACACGUAUCCAUUCAGUUUUGCCUAGUCAAAACUAAUAUUUCGGAUAUCCGCAACUACAUUCCUCCUAUCCACAAUUGUCAUUUCAGAUAUCCACAAAGACAUUCCUCCUAGGCGAAAUGACGUCAUUUUCGCCAUUCAUGUCUAUGGGGUUUCUCAUUGCAGAUAUCUACAAUUCAGAUAUCCACUUUGUGAAUUACGGAUAUCUGCAACUGAAUUGUAGAUAUCUGUAAUUCCAGUUUGAGAUAUCUACAAUUUGAUUCUGACUAGUCAUAAUUCCAGUUCAUGAUAUCUUUAAUUCACCUCAAUUCAAGAUAUCUACAUGUCCCUUUUCAGAUAUCUUAAAUUAAGUUUUGACUAGGCGAAAUGACAUGGUAGAUAUCUCUAACUGGAGUUACGACUAGUCAAAAUGACGUUGUAGAUAUCUCUAACUGGAGUUACGACUAGUCAAAAUUACGUUGUAGAUAUCUAUUAUGAAGUUAUAGAUAUCUUGAAAGGAACUUUGAUUAGAGAUAGAUAUCUGUAACUUUCAUUCCGCCUACUCAAAAUCUAAUUACAGAUAUCUUGAACUUGAGUUUUGACUAGGCAAAUUGACGUUUCAGAUAUCUGUAAUGACAAAUUAUAUGACCGCCUCCCGCUUUAGGCGGGAGCGGAGCAGGUCGUUGUCGUUCAAAUCAUCAUUCACUCGUUCAAUUUCAUGGCAUUUUCUGAUGGUUUUUUCAAUUACAGCCAACUGUAAUCCUAAACUGUAAACUGCUCCUUUCUCAGAGAAAUAAGGAAAUGAACCAACUUCUUCUUUGAUUAUGGCGGCAUGGGGAAAUUAUGUAUUUCUAGAUAUCUAAAACGUCACGCCCAAUAAUUCGCACUCAAAUGACGUUUGACAUAUCUUUAACUUUCAUUCUGCCUAGUCAAAACUGAAUUACAGAUAUCUGCAAUUGUCAUUUAAGAUGUGUGACGAGUUGAAUGUCUUUUUCCGUGUUGUCAUUGCAGAUAUCUGUAAUUCAGUUUUGCCUAGUCAAAACUGAAUUACAGAUAUCUCUGUCGUUUCGACUAGUCACAAUUACGUUACAGAUGUCUUGAAUCAAAAUCCCAACUAUUCAAAAUGUAAUUACGACUAGUCAGAAAGAAGUUGUUGAUAUCUACAAUGUUAAUUCCGGAUUGUCAAAUUUAGUUAAUAAAUGACAAUUCGGCUUGCCAUACCGGGCCGACAAGGCUACAUUAUAUGCGAACAUUGUCAAAGCAAUACACACUGAAGAGCAACGGUCCUAAAAUCGAGCCUUGUGGCACUCCCAUGGUGCAGUUUUACAGGGGUGAUAACUUGUUAUUUAUUCGAACACAUUGAUGUUGGCUAGCUAGGUAUGAUUUAAUCCAGUUCAUCCAUGUAACAUCCAAAUAUGGACUCUGCUUGGCAGUGGGAGACUGGCCUCUUUUACUUUCACACAAACCCCUGUGCCUUAACGGCAAGAACCACAGACAGCAUGUCCACCCUUUUAAAAAAUACACAAACAGACAAAACAAUAUCCCCACUAAGCCGUACAUGCUCUGCAGGCAUAUGUAGCAAUGUAGAAGCAUUUCGAAACGGUGUUGAACAUAGUGCUCUUGAACACAGCAUGGAAAUGGCCCAGUCCCCUAAUCAAGCCCGUUAUAUAAAGCAGGUGUGAUGUGCCUCAGUAUGGCUUUGUCUCUGCUGUGGCUGGUGACCAUCUUUAGGAUAUCCGCCUGUGACCGAGUGACUUUCAUGCUUACCCCUAAACCCGUGGUGGUUCACUUGCUGCUGUUUUGCCCUGUUUUGCUUUGACUUAUUGUUUUGUUUUGAGUAUUUAUCGAACCAACUGGGGGUUAAAUGUUUGUUUUUGAUUGAUGUUUUAAUAGUUAUUGUUUAUUUAGGCUGGAGCUGGGUGCCAAACUGUAAGGAGGCUAGGCACCCCUGGUGAGGUCCCGUCACUUGCAUGUGAAUUAAAGCACAGGGAUUUAACACGUUUUUCACCAGCUUUAGUGUGUAGUGACUGUUGAUGUGAGGCACUUGUGGUGAGUGAGUGGUAGCACCCCUAGGCACUCCUCGGCGUAGUUUGCCUCUCAGCAGUUGGCCUCAGCUUUAGUCUGGUUGGUUUUGUUUAAGUUUGGGACUGCUAUUUUAGAUAUUGUGAC
ensembl:lncRNA